GAUGAACGCUGGCGGCGUGCUUAACACAUGCGAGUCGAACGGGAAUUCUUUUAUUGAAACUUCGGUCGAUUUAAUUUAAUUCUAGUGGCGGACGGGUGAGUAACGCGUGGGUAACCUGCCUUAUACAGGGGGAUAACAGUCAGAAAUGGCUGCUAAUACCGCAUAAGCGCACAGAGCUGCAUGGCUCAGUGUGAAAAACUCCGGUGGUAUAAGAUGGACCCGCGUUGGAUUAGCUGGUUGGUGGGGUAACGGCCCACCAAGGCGACGAUCCAUAGCCGGCCUGAGAGGGUGAACGGCCACAUUGGGACUGAGACACGGCCCAGACUCCUACGGGAGGCAGCAGUGGGGAAUAUUGCACAAUGGGGGAAACCCUGAUGCAGCGACGCCGCGUGAAGGAAGAAGUAUCUCGGUAUGUAAACUUCUAUCAGCAGGGAAGAUAGUGACGGUACCUGACUAAGAAGCCCCGGCUAACUACGUG
rnacentral:rRNA from 1 species